CGCGACGCUACGGCUAGCGCGAUCCCGCGCGGCGGUGAAGGCGCUGCUGGCGGCUUGACUGGUGGCCGCUGCCACGGGGCGGGGGCGGAUCGUCUUCCGCAGAGACCCUGAAGAAGGCCAGUAGCCCGCGUGACGAUGAGGAGGCCCUGCCCCGUGUGUCCGGAAGCAGUGCCUCGCGACUCAAGGACGGGUCGUCACAACUGACGCUAUGAGCAGUCGCUGUACCACCUGCAAAUUGCUCGACAACUAAAGAUCAUUGCAAGAUACUUCCUCUAAUCACACUGCACGUGGAAGGACGCAAACUACAAGACUGUGAGGAUGUUCCAUUUCAGUUCUUGGAGGUAGUGCUUUAAGACACCUUCUAUGUGUUAAGUAUUCCCACAAGACAGUAUCUCAAGUAAAUAGCACAUAAAGAAAUUUUCUACAUGAGAGCCUUAAAAAGUAUAUAAGAUAUCAUGUUGUUUAGUAUACUGAUUUAUUAUCAUUCUGAUAGUAGUGUGUUGAACAAUUGUUUGUUUGUUAACCCUACUGUGAAAAAAAUUAUGUGAUGUUCAAUUUAAUACCCACUAUUCAGCUCAUACCAACAGAAUUCCAUGUCUAAUAUUAACAGAAAUAGGGAAGAUAUCAAUAAUUUAUAAAAAAGGAAAAGGAAUUCUAGCAGAUACCAAUGAAAACUGCUAAAAUGAAAUCUAAUAUUAACCUUCCAGAUCAUGUACUACUACAGAAAACUGAGAUGAAUUCCACUUAUCCAUUGUAAUUUAUGUACUGCCAGAGAAAAGAAUAGGAACUCUCACUAAAAUCAGAGUGUGUAAGUAUAAUGAGACUGAUUUUAUAUUUGACAUGGUAGUACAGUACAGGACAGUUGUCUAUGUUAGUCAAUAUUUGUUGACAGCAAUAUUUUUGUAGUUAAUUUAUUGUCUCCUGGAACGAAAUCUUUUGAUUUAUUCUCUUAA